ACACAUGCGAGUUUUUGCUGGCUUGAGAACAAGCAAGGAAAAAGACAAAUCCCACCUACCCUAGCCUAAAAUACACAGUGAGUCUCAGAACCCCGCGGAAGCUGUGGCUCAUUUCUAAAGGUGCUGGCAAUAUCGAGGAAGACUUGUAUCCACAAAAUUCCAAAUGGAAAAGAGAGAAAAGAGAACAACAAACAGAUGUGUGAAAAAAAGACACGAAGUACAAAACGGAUGUAUUAAUGGCAAAUAGAGUAAACUUGAAGCCUGAAAUUGCAGCACUCAUUUGGUGACCAGGAGUGGGCAAACAGAAGGACAAAGGCCUACAAGAUUAAAUAAUCAAGUCAUUAUUGUGAAUUUGGAUCUAAAUGACCUGGCAGAAACCAUGGAGAUGAUCUUGGAUUUAAAGAGGAAAAACUCAAAGCAAUGUAUUCUGAUCAAGAAAUGGCAGGAAAUGGCAGCUACCUGAUAUGGAACAAUCAACAACUGAAGGUUUAUUUUGAAUGAGAGGUGUUGUCCAACUGCGAGACGGAGUGAUUGAAGCUGAGAAUAAAU
rnacentral:lncRNA from 1 species